rnacentral:rRNA from 1 species
UGACCUCAAAUCAGGUAGGGCUACCCGCUGAACUUAAGCAUAUCAAUAAGCGGAGGAAAAGAAACUAACAAGGAUUCCCCUAGUAACGGCGAGUGAACCGGGAAGAGCUCAAAUUUGAAAUCUGGCGUCCUCAGGGCGUCCGAGUUGUAAUCUAUAGAAGCGUUUUCCGCGCCGGACCGUGUAUAAGUCUCCUGGAACGGAGUAUCAAAGAGGGUGACAAUCCCGUGCUUUACACGACGACCGGUGCUCUGUGAUACGUUCUCUACGAGUCGAGUUGUUUGGGAAUGCAGCUCAAAACGGGUGGUAAACUCCAUCUAAAGCUAAAUAUUGGUGGGAGACCGAUAGCGAACAAGUACCGUGAGGGAAAGAUGAAAAGCACUUUGGAAAGAGAGUUAAACAGUAUGUGAAAUUGUUGAAAGGGAAACGAUUGAAGUCAGUCGUGUCCAUUGGGUUCAGCCGGUCCUGCCGGUCUACUCCCUUUGGACGGGUCAACAUCAGUUCUGACCGGUGGAUAAUGGCACGAGGAACGUGGCACCCCCAGGGGUGUGUUAUAGCCUCGCGUCGCAUACACUGGUUGGGACUGAGGAACGCAGCUCGCCUUCAUGGCCGGGGUACGCCCACGUACGAGCUUAGGAUGUUGACAUAAUGGCUUUAAACGACCCGUCUUGAAACACGGACCAAGGAGUCUAACAUAUCUGCGAGUGUUU